rnacentral:tRNA from 1 species
GCGAGCGUAUUUUAACGGUAGAACAGCAGCCUUCCAAGCUGUGAGUGUGGGUUCAAUUCCCGCCGCUUGCU